rnacentral:lncRNA from 1 species
AGUGAGAUAUACAAUGAUCUCUAUCAAAAUAUCAUUGAAACUCCUUUUAAUGGAUCGAAAUAAUUCCACUCUAACUCAUCAAGAAUUAUCGAUCCAGAACAAUCCUAGUGAGCUCUCACAAUCCACCAGUGACACCUAGCAGUAUGUAGUGGCAAUCCAAUAGAAUUAAAAAUGAACCUCAAGGUGUAGUUAACGUGUGAUUCAGUCCUUCUAUCAUGAGUCCCGACUAGAUGGC